AAUCCACAAAUCUGAGAAACUCUGUAAUGGGGUCAUCCCACAGUAACAGCAGGGAAGGACCCCAGAUACAGACAAAGAGGUCAAGGAAAAGAUGCCACCUACUGAUGACUGAAGCUACCAACCUGAAGAACUCUACAAUAGGAGGUGCAUCUACAUAACUGAGAAACUUCACAUUAGGGAGCCUUGUGUAUCUAUAAAACUGCGAAACACCAUAAUAGGGGACCUUGUGAGUGUACAAAUCUAAGAAACUCUACAACAGGGGGCCUUGUGAGUCUACAAAACUGAGAAACUCCAAUAUAGGGGGGGUUUGUAAUCUACAAAACUGAGAAACUCCAGAAGA